rnacentral:sRNA from 1 species
GAUACGCAUCUGUCGAAUACGUCAAAAAGAUGAUGCAUUACUCCAAACGUAAUGAGGACAAGAUACAAUUUGAGAUACAAUUUAUGUACGUGUAAGUUUAGAAUUUCAAAACGAUAAUGUUGACACUGCUUCCUGAGAGGCAACUUUCAAAAAAUUUAAUUUUUUUUGAUUAAUUUCUAAUUUCAGUUUGUUCUGUAUGAAAGGACUUGAUGAAACACAUGAAACACAAUGGCACAUGAUGUUGAAGUUGGUGAAGUUGCAGCACUUUGUUCCAGACCUAAUUCACAUUCAUCCUAAAAAGGGGUCACAAGUUUUCGGAUAGAAUUGGCAAUCAAAAGUCAUCGAACAACAAAAAAAAGUUGCUGAUAUUUCUACGUAUGUUAAAACACAAAUGAAUCAAAAAUUACUGUUUUUAGUCUAACGGCUUACAAGAACUCUUCCGAUGCAAACGUAUCUAGUCUACUGAGGGAGGACUCCGUGAAUCCUGCAAAGAAA